CUCUCUCUCUCUCUCUCUCUCUCGCUCUCCCCGUAGACUUGUAAACCAAAACUCUCUCUCUCUAGAAAUUUUCUACUCUUUUCUCCUUUUCUUCUUUGUUUAAUUUGUGUUAUCUUGCCUCAAUUUUUUCUUCAAAAAUUGCUUCCUUCUCAAGCCUUUUGUCAUUCUCUUGAUCUCUCUCUUCGUUUUUUAGUUAUUGAGUUUCUCUUCGGGUUGGUUUCUGGUCUCUAAGUGGUUUCUCUCAUGGCUGGUCGCUACGAUCAUAACCCUUUCGAUGAAGAAGAAGAAGUUAAUCCCUUUGCUAAUGAUCUAGUCCAUGGAUGGGGAGUGGA
rnacentral:misc_RNA from 1 species